UACGAAGGGGGCUAGCGUUGCUCGGAAUCACUGGGCGUAAAGCGCACGUAGGCGGAUUGCUAAGUCAGGGGUGAAAUCCUGGAGCUCAACUCCAGAACUGCCUUUGAUACUGGCGACCUUGAGUCCGGGAGAGGUGAGUGGAAUUCCGAGUGUAGAGGUGAAAUUCGUAGAUAUUCGGAGGAACACCAGAAGCGAAGGCGGCCAACUGGCCCGAUACUGACGCUGAGGCGCGAAAGCGUGGGGAGCAAACAGG
rnacentral:rRNA from 1 species